rnacentral:rRNA from 1 species
UAGGGAAUCUUCGGCAAUGGACGAAAGUCUGACCGAGCAACGCCGCGUGAGUGAAGAAGGUUUUCGGAUCGUAAAACUCUGUUGUUAGAGAAGAACAAGGACGUUAGUAACUGAACGUCCCCUGACGGUAUCUAACCAGAAAGCCACGGCUAACUACGUGCCAGCAGCCGCGGUAAUACGUAGGUGGCAAGCGUUGUCCGGAUUUAUUGGGCGUAAAGCGAGCGCAGGCGGUUUCUUAAGUCUGAUGUGAAAGCCCCCGGCUCAACCGGGGAGGGUCAUUGGAAACUGGGGUACUUGAGUGCAGAAGAGGAGAGUGGAAUUCCAGGUGUAGCGGUGAAAUGCGUAGAUAUAUGGAGGAACACCAGUGGCGAAGGCGGCUCUCUGGUCUGUAACUGACGCUGAGGCUCGAAAGCGUGGGGAGCAAACAGG